rnacentral:rRNA from 1 species
AUUGAACGCUGGCGGCAGGCCUAACACAUGCAAGUCGAGCGGAUGAAGGGAGCUUGCUCCUGGAUUCAGCGGCGGACGGGUGGGUAAUGCCUAGGAAUCUGCCUGGUAGUGGGGGAUAACGUCCGGAAACGGGCGCUAAUACCGCAUACGUCCUGAGGGAGAAAGUGGGGGAUCUUCGGACCUCACGCUAUCAGAUGAGCCUAGGUCGGAUUAGCUAGUUGGUGGGGUAAAGGCCUACCAAGGCGACGAUCCGUAACUGGUCUGAGAGGAUGAUCAGUCACCCUGGAACUGAGACACGGUCCAGACUCCUACGGGAGGCAGCAGUGGGGAAUAUUGGACAAUGGGCGAAAGCCUGAUCCAGCCAUGCCGCGUGUGUGAAGAAGGUCUUCGGAUUGUAAAGCACUUUAAGUUGGGAGGAAGGGCAGUAAGUUAAUACCUUGCUGUUUUGACGUUACCAACAGAAUAAGCACCGGCUAACUUCGUG